rnacentral:rRNA from 1 species
GCUGGAAUCGCUAGUAAUCGCAGAUCAGCAUGCUGCGGUGAAUACGUUUCCCGGGGGCUUGUACACACCGCCCGUCAAACCAUGGGAGUUUGGAGCACCCGAAGUCAGUGGCCUAACCGAAAGGGAGGAGCUGCCGAAGGUGAGCCAGAUAACUGGGGUUAAGUCGUAACAAGGUAGC